AUUUAAACAGACAUCCAAGGAGGGGUUUGGAGGAAGAGUUUUUUCCCAAGAAUGUGACCCCCAUAAUCCCCUAAAACAACAUAGUCCAAAAAAGAAAGAAGUUAUUACAGCACAAUACAUUAAGACUAAACACUAAAAAUAUUUGUCAUCAUUCGCUUCGUCGUCACUCGCAAAAGGGUCGCCACCUGAGAUACGACAAAAAAUAAGAAGAUUCGAAUUACAGGUAAUCAUUCAAACAUUCCUAUUCAUAAGCAUUCACGCAAUAUUCAUACAUACAUCUUGUGGCACUUAUACUCUCUUAAAAACCAUCCUCGGUUCUAAUAUUCAUUAUGACUAAUUGAGUGAAUGUUUCAUGUGGAUAAAUAUGUUAGCAAACCCUAAAAUAAAAUUCAAAACUCAACUGAAGUUGCUGAAAUUUCUUUUAACAUUAGCAAAAACCACUUUUUUAAAAAUAAAACCUAAUUUGAGCAUUUAGAUUAUUACCACAACCCCGGUAACGAAACUUGACCAACGAAAUAGAAAUCAGCACUUGUUUAAAAAUAAAACCUAACUUGAGCAUUUAAAUUAUUACCACAACCCCGGUAACGAAACUUGACCAACCAAAUAGAAAUCAGCUAAAAAUAUAUAUACUAAACUUUUUCUCCAAACUGUUUCCUCUCUAUCCGCUGCUGCCAUUGAUUUCUGCAUCUAACCAAAAAUAAAAACAACAAAACCAAUAGAACUCACAAAGUCAGAAAAAGGGGUUUCAAACUUAGAUCUACAGAACAGGACAUGCAUGUCACCGGAGGACUCGCCGGAUCCACCUUCGAUGACAUGCAAGUCUGGAACUUGAUGAAAUCAGAAAAGCAGAAAAGAGGGUUCAGAGAUCUUUUACCUCUUCUUUCUUUUCGUGGUGGUGACCGGGAGAGGAGAGGUGAGAAUAGGCAACGGCAGCGGUCGUCGUCCCUCGAAAUUAAAAAGGUGGAGGGGAAGAGGCGGCC
rnacentral:lncRNA from 1 species